rnacentral:lncRNA from 1 species
UGACAUAUUGGUGGCGUGGCUGGUCAUAGAAGGGGUGGUCAAAAUGAGUAAAAUUAAAAUUGUGGAUUCAAAAAUAAAUUGCCUGUUUUUAAAAUUUUUCAGUGUUAUAUACUAUAAUGUAUUUUUUUGUUUUCCUUUUAUUAAAAUUUUAAUAGAUUUAACAUUAUUUUUUUAAUUCAAAUGUUUUUAGGUAAUUUAUAUAAAAAAAAUUAGUUUAUUUAUAAAUAAAUAUAUUUUUAGUUUAAUAAUUUAUUUUAUUUUUAUUAUAAAGUAAAUAAAAUAUUACUAUAUUUUAUGUAUCUAUUAUAAUAUAAAUAGUUAUUUUAUUACUUUUAUAUAAAAUAAUAUUUAAUUUUUAAUAAUAUCAAAUAAAAUUAUUUUUAUAUUUAAAACUAUCAAAAUUUAAAUAUUGAUCAUAAAAAAUAAAUAUUUAAUAUUUUACCAACAAAUCACGUAUCAAUUAAUAAAUAAAAUGAUAUUUAAUCUUUAAAAAUUAAUGAUUAUUAGACAAAUAAAAUAGUUUCAAAUCACAUGUAACAAAAUCAUUAUAAUAAUAAAAUCACCUCAGUAAUUUAGUUACUCUGGUGGACUUGAUAAUAAUAUCCCAAUACCUUAUUGUAGUUAGUUUUAUUUUUUUACUGUUUUUAUCGAAGGAACACUUGUGUUCUUAUGUUUCCCUAGACGAUGGCCAUCAAACAUCCAAAUCUUGCAAUUGCACUUCGUAAUUAUGGGAUUGAAAAUAGCAAAAGAAAAAUAUAUAUAUUUGGGAUGCUAAUUUUGAAUAUAUGCAUAGCAUUAAGAAAACAAUAAGUACCCAGGCCAAUUAAUCUCCUUAGUUGCCAUUAUUCUUAUACAAUUCCCUUACAAAAUCUGGUUCCUGAACAUGGACCAAUCCUUAAAAUGCAGAUGCCAUGAACGAAGAGGUGUACAAUAAUAUUUUCAAGGUGUGAGGAAAUUAAGUAAAGACACUCUAUUUCUGAUUAAGCAUCUAAACAGGCAAUCUAAACCUGCUUCGAGACCUUUUCGAUAAUAGUAGAAAGUGUAUCUAAUCUCCUUACUCCAAUUUUUGUAUCAAUUUUAGCAACAUUUUUCGGACUUGUCCAUGGAGUGUAUGCAGGGUGAAGUCGACAGUUCCCACCUCAUUGAAAAACUUCUGGCUUCUCUCGGCUGCAACUGGUAUCAAUUUUGAAAUCAAAGACCAACCUCCAGCUUUUGUUUUCAUUACUGGCAUGGAAAGAAAUGACAGGAAUGACUGAAACAUAGAAAUUGUGAUGUCAUUGGAUUCCCUCAGUGCUGUUACCACCAUCAAUAGAUGGCAAUCUACAUCAAAUAGAGGAAAGGGGCCAUUAUUAUUCCAUUCCAAUCUCUUUAGUACUCUAAGGGCUUUAGCAAUGUUCUUUUUCAACUUCUUUCUAAAGCUGAUAUAAGCAAGGAUAUUGCUUCCAAUGCUUGAAUUUCCGCCUCUCCUUCGUAAAACUGACUGAAGAUCUUGUACUUGCUCCUUCAUCAUCAUAAGUAGGUCUCUUGCGGUGCUACAUGCAUCCAGCAAUUCAACCGAAUCGUUAAUUGCCUCCUCUACUAGUUUAAAAUUUUGCAGACGAUGAAGAGCUUGUCGAGGGAGUGGAGAUUGAAUGAUUUCCUCAAUUUUGUUGUACAGCUUUGCAACCCUAGUGAAACCUGUACAAAUUGUCUCACCACCAGCGUAAAUUGUUUUUGAAGCUGACAAGAGUCCAAUGGUUUUCAGCUCGUUCAGCUCUGUUUCAAUAGAAUUAAGCUUCAACCUGGAUGGCAAGCUGAUGGAUCUAACUGGAACAUUCACACCAUGAAUUAUAGAUGAACCUGCCAUAUUUUACACGGAAAAAGUGCUCAAAACACUCAUAUAUGUUGAUCAGACAUCCAUAAUUCUUCUAUCUAUUUAUAAGAAAGAAUUUUUCAUGCUGAAGUCCAAUCAUUGGCCAUGUGAUGACAAUGGGAGUUGGCCUACAAUUGAAAGAUCCUUGUAGCAUAUUUAGCCUGCAACCUGCAAUCAUUUCUCAUUCUUUAAUAUUAUGUUCAAGAGAUGGACAACGUACAGAAUUGAAUAAUUUUUGCCCAUGAUCCUCAAAUUGUAAACAACUCGUACAGGCCGUGUAAGCCGUAUGCUGCCUUGCCUCCCCAAUCAUUGGUGCGAUACCUUCACAAUUAGUGUUUGUUAAUGUCCUUAAAGAUUAGUUUAUGAACUUUCAAGGCUGGCAAUUUAUAAUUGCCUAAUAGUUUAGAACCAAAGAUAUGAUGUUAAUUGACCCAGGAUUGCAGAAAAAUAUUAGAAUAGGAAACACGACAAAUCGGGCCAUUAUUUUGCACAAAGCUAGACCUCAAGGCAAAGAAUCUGGGGCGGACAUCCCAAGGACACUGAAUUCUUUAGCCACUUGUAGGCCAGUACCGUCAGAGAGAGAUAUUUGUUUAUUGAAGAAGACAUUGCCUAGAAGACCAUGUAAAAUUAAACCUAGAAACAAUGGAGCAAGAAGCUUUUGGUUGAGGGAGGGCCAAAGGGGCGGCAGCUUGUAGAGUCACUAGAGUCAAAUACUGUAAUGCAGAAAAUCCAAUGCAUCACAUGCUCCUUUUUAUUGCCGAGGAAGCUCUGAUUCUCCUUGUCUCCCAAGAUUUUACGUAUUCUAAAGUAACAAAUUCCUGCAAAACCAUUUUCUCCUUGUCAACAUAGCCUAAUCUGUCGUUAGAGUGUUGAAUUUUUAAAUUAAGUAAUUAAGAUUCAAAUUUUGACAACAUCAAAUAUAAAAACAAAACCAUUUUCGCCUUGUUCAAUAAUUUAGUUAAACAAAAGUUUUGGUGUAUCUGCAUCAAAUUCUUCCGUCUUCCCUACAUGCAUUCAGUAGCAGAGUACAUCAAUCUACCAUGAAUUUUGUUGUCGAAAUUUUGGUGUAGAUGGACACCAUUUUAACGUAUGGCCAACGUACAAGAUCGCCAUCUGCAAAUGAAGAUUAAAGGGUGCCCAAAUUCUUUAGGUACUAAAUCCACCAUGUCCGCAGUUGUCGUACCAUAAUUUUACAGGUCAUUUUUGUUUUAAAUUUAAUUCCGUGACUAUGUUUUCAUGAUCGAGAUUACAAAUAUUUAAAUAAAUGUGACUGGUGGUACGUACAGGCCGCUCAAAAGAUAAACUAUAAGCUUCGACAUAAUAAUUGCUUGUUAAUGCAUGAUUGUGGUUCAUAUGAUCGAUAAUAAGAUAAAAGCAUACACGUUCAACCUCCCAAUGAAGGAACACAGCAUUUAAUAACAUGGAAAACGAAUUACAUAUUUCCGUGUCCAUGCACCGAGAACCAGAAAAACAAAAACAAAAAUAAUGACCAUGAAAUUAGAGGAACUUAGAUGCUACUAUAUUCUCAGCUGAAAAUUCAGUUACAUUGCCAACUUAGGAUUAAUUGAGUUAAUAAGGUUCAAAUAACUAUUCUAAGUUUAAAUCUCGAUGCCAGCAACCUUUUUGGUGGUCUACCCAGUUCCUCCUAAACUAUUUUCUACCUAAAAAAAAAGGAAAUUUCAGUUACACCAUUGGGAUAAGGAACAGCCUACUGCGUUAAUAAUGAAGGGUAAUGCUCAUUUUCGAUGUAAAAUGAGUAAAUUACUUUGAAAUUGCCCUCUUAGUCAGCAGUUUUAUUCCCCUUAUACUUAUUUAUUUUUAAAAUUUUAUUCUCUAUCACACUUCAUUGUUGCCUUCCGUAUGAACCUCUAGAUUUAAUCUAAUGGAUGAGCGCAAGCAUAAUGCGGUACCCACAUUGCACUUGGUAGCAUCUUUCAGACUGGCUGAUACAAACUCUUGUAGUAUGUCACAUUUAAUCCAAAAAAAUGUUAGCACACGUAGCCAAAAACAGGAAUUACUCUGACAAGAUGGAAGGUGAACAUGAGCAAAAAAGGACUACUUUGUCAGAAUUGAACCUUAUUAAUCUCUUAGGUUUAGGCAAAAAGACAACAAGGUUACGCUGAUAGAAAUAGCAGAAGUGGAGAACUAACAGGUGAAACAACAACAUACAAGCUAGAAUUUAGACAGGACGAGAGACUUCUUAUGUACCAAUUAUCAAAGAUUACAUUCAACCCAUCUCAACAGGCACUACCAUUAAGUAGUAACCAUAGGGUAUCUCAGGUAAGCAUGAUGUUAAAGGGUAUCAACUAUCAAUAUGUAAUAAUUGACAAUAAGACAGAAUCAGAGGCUGACAUUGUGAAAGUAAAUUUGUUAGAAUUUUUAACCUCAAAAUUAUUAUUAAAGUUCAAUUGCAUAAUUACUGUUUUCUCAUAUAUUUUAUUAGCAGCCAAGACUGUAAAAACUAGAACAAUUAAGUACAAAACAUCAACUGAGACAAGAAGCAAUUAGCACAAUUAAGGCAAUUCGUAUACACAUUUGAAAGUAUACGCGAGUUCAUUAUGGCAACUUCAUGUGCACAUACAAACAAUAAUACACUUGCAGUAACAGAAAUUAUGUUAUGUCACAAGCCAUUUUUGCCAUAUAAAUAUAAGCUCAUUUUAUCCAUAAAAUAGAUGUCAAAAUUGAAAUAAGCAACAAGAACUACAAAUUAGAGAGACUGAUAUACAAACAAAGAACAUACUAGUUAGAGUGCGAGCCCUUGUUCCCUAGCUUUUUUCAGCCACUUAAGGGUAACCUCCAAUGUCGAGUAAGCAGCAACAUCAGUCAGACUCUUACUAUCAACAGCAUAAUCAAACACUUCAUAUGCCUCUGCAACCCUGCCCUCCCUACAAAGUGCUCUUACAAGAGUAGCAUAAGAAGCAGUCUCAAGCUUCACACCAGCGGACUUCAUUGCCCCAUAUAACUCCAUUGCUUUCUCCAUCAAUCUACACUUGCACAACCCAUGAAGCAGCGUAUUAUAAGUGCAUGAAUUCGGGCUACAUCCCUUUCUUUCCAUCUCACCCAACAAAACCACUGCACCCAAUGCAUUCCCUUCUCUACACAUUCCAUUCAUUAAAGAUGUAUAUGUGACAGCAUCUGGAAAAUGGCCCGAUUCAACCAUAAUAUCUAAAUACUUUCUAGCUUCUUUAACUCUCCCAGAUUUUGACAACCCAAAAAUCAAAGUAUUAUAAGUCACAAGAUCAGGCUCAACACAUUCCUCUUUCAUUUUCUUAUAAACCUCAAUUGCCUCACUUCCUUUACUCAACAUACAAUAGCCUUUCAUAAUGGUAUUAUAAACAAAACAAUCCGGCUUAAACCCUGACUCAUGAAGCACACCAACCAAUCUCAUUGCCUCACGUAAGUUCUUUGAAUUACAAACAUUAUCGAUCAAUAUAGUAUAUGUAACAAGAUCAGGCUUUAUACCAAAAGAAGUCUUCAUAUCAUCAAUAAAACCGUAAACCGUACUCAAAGUUCUACACUUGCAUAAAUUCUUAACAAGAAAGUUGAACGUAAAACUAUCAGGCGGAGAGUGCUUUAAAGAAAGUUCUUUUACCAAUUCUACAGCAUGAUCAAUGCGUCCUGCUUCGCAAAGCGAUCGGAUAGCAAUAUCAGUGGUGACCUGAUUGGGUUUGAGCCCAUUAGUGACCAUCAGAUUGAGGGUUUGGUGAACAGGGGAGAGGGAGGAAUCAGGUGCUUUGCAAGAUUGAGAGAGCAAGAUAUGGUAAGUUGAUCGGUCAGGGGAAAACGAAGGGUGGGUUGUGAUCAUGUGGUAAAGAAGAGAGAUGGAGUCAUUGAGGAUGGAGAUUGAGGCAUAGGAUUGUAAAAGAGUGUUGUGGAAGCGAAGAUCAAGUGGCGACUUCGAUGAGGCAACGAUGGAGUUGAAAACUUUCUUGGCCGAUAAGAGGUCAGGGGAUUUAAAUAGGGAUUCGGUUUUGCGGGAUACCGGGGAAGCUUGGGCUUUCUUAGAAUGUUGGGGUGGUUUUUUCUUGGUGAUUUUGUUGGGAAGCUGAUGGGGAAUCGCGAUUGGGGGUUCUAAAGGCAGCUUUCUAAUGAGAGAAUUUGAGAUUGCUGGACGAAAUGAAGGUGGAAUUUUUCCCAUUUUUCUUCUUCUUCUUCUUGUUUCCUUUGAAUGGGAUUCGGGAGUUAGGGUUUUGCAGGGUUUUAAGACCAAGGAGAAAGUGAAUGUGGGUAGGGUUGGGUAGAAUUGGUCCAGCUUUAAAUUUCACCAAAUCCAAUUUCAUUUCAGGGCCCAAUUGCCUUAAACAAGCUUUUUGAUAUCAGUCGAGAAGGAUUUUAUUUCAGGAUCCAAUUGUUUAAACAAAGCUUUUUCAGAUCAGCCCAACAAAGGAGUGCAAAUUUUUUUUUUUUUUUCAGUUGUCAUAUUAAAAUUUUCAUUUUACUGCUGCAAAUCAAAAUUCCCAUGCUAUUUCUUCAAAGCAGAGGGUCUUUUCUAAAUUCAUCGAUCUUCCAUUGUGCAAGUCUAGAACAAUGGACAAUGAAAAAGGAAAUUCAUAAGCAUUUUGCAUUUACAUUUUUUGUGGUUGUUUAAUUACAUCAGGCAUUUGAAUCCUAAACUCGUAUGGAUUAUAACAGAAUUAAUUAUAUCUUUAACAUCUAAAUUAAUUUUUAAAAAAUGUAUAAAUCAGUAUUUAAAUAAAUAAAUAAAAUACAUAAUUUGUAAUUUUAAAUUUCAAAUUAUGUAUAAUGUUAAUCCAAAUUUUAAUUCCAUGAACCAUAUCAACUUAUAUAUAUAUAUAUAUAUGAUGUUUGACAAAAAUUAUCAAAUUAUAUGUUUAGCAUACAUACUAUCAAUAUCUUGUUUUAAUAUUAAUUAUAAAAUAUAUUUUUACCUAGACCAUAAAAAUUAUCUAAAAUCAAUCAAUUAUUAUUUAUCACAUGACAUCCAUAAUAUGUUUUUACAAAAUAUUUAACAUUUUUAUGUAACAAGUAACACAUAUAAUAAAAUUAUACUAAUUAGAUACGAUAAAGGCAAAUUAAGUUAAUAGUAUUAUAAUUUGGAUUAAAAAUUAUACAUUCUUAGAAAAUCUAAGAUACAAAAUAUAUAUUUUAUUUCUCUAAAUAUCAAUUUGUAUGUUUUCUCAAAGUUUAAAUAAAAACAUAGUUAACUCUAAAUAAUAUUUAAUUUGCUUCUGUCUUUUAUAAUGCAUAUAUGAUAUAUGUACUGUAAUAUAUGUGUGAUUGUUAUAUAAAAUUGAUGGUUCAAAUUUAAACUAUCAAGAAGAAAAACCUUUUUUGGCAUCUCAUCACAUUAUAUGUAAUGUGAAUAAAAUUAGAUUGAGAAACUGAAAAUUCUUUUAAACUUUUUAUAUGCCAUAACCACUGAAAACGUCUUGCAAAUAAAAAAGCAACUAGGCAAUCAUGAUUGAUGUUUUAAUAUUUGAUGUUUUUGUGCUUCUUCUGUUGAUAGUAACUUUUUUUUUCUCUAAUUUACUCAAAUGAAAUAUAUUUUUACUGGAAAUAUCCGACCCUUCAUUGCUCAAAAUAAUUGAAACAAUUGUGGGACAUAUCCAUUCAAUGAAUUUUGUAAAGAAUGACGACUUGUGGAGUGGUACACCUCAUCAGCUUUUAUGUUUUUCCUUUUCAUGUUUUUUUUCUUUCACUUUUAUCGUAAUAUCUAGAUCCGGGGAUCUAUCGCUAGACAUUGACUUUUAGGGAGUCGCCACCAAUCUUUUUUUAUCUAGGUGCGAUUGGCCACCUAAAGAAUCUGUCCUUUCAGGGAACACCUAAGCUUAAGGGUCCCUAAAAGAAUAGGUUCAGGUCUACUAACCAGAACAGGGUUCGGGAGUUCGGUUACGUGUGAGAAGGUUAUAGCACCCUCACAACGCCCAUCAAAAGAUGGUACCAGCUUAAAUUCGUGUUAUCCAAAAGCCUUAAAAUUUUACCAAGUAAUUAGUUAUUGGAAAUUAUUCUCAAUUGACUCUAAUACUUUUAGCAGAAAAUUGAGAAAAUUCCCUCACCUCAGGAGUAUGCAAGAAAACUACUGUUUCACUUACAGAGGCUCCGUCGUCGGAUUAUUUAAAGAAAAAAAAAUCAAAAUUAAGAUAGAAAGGAAGGAAAGAAUGAUUUUUUUUUGUAGGGAAAAUUGAUACUUUCAACUUUUCCCCAAAAAUAUUUUUUUGGAAAUUUCGAUUUUCAAGGAAAAUUGAUACUUUCAACUUUUCCUCAAAAACCCUUUUUUUGAAAAUUUAUUUCUAAGGAAAAUUGAUACUUUCAACUUUUCCCUAAAAAUAUUUUUUUGAAAUUUAUUUCUGAGGAAAAUUGAUACUUUCAACUUUUCCCCAAAAGUAUUUUUUGGAAAUUUAUUUCUAAGGAAAAUUGAUACUUUCAACUUUUCCCUAAAAAUAUAUAUUUUUUUUGGAACUUUUGAUUUUUUUUAUUUAAAGAAAAAUAGAAAAAUAAAAAAAAUAAAAAAAGAAAAGUAAAACAAAACUAAAAAUAAAAUAAAGAUAAAAAGAAUAUUAAAUAAACCUAAUCUAAUAAAUAAAAAUAAUAAAUAAACAAAUAAAACAAAUAAAGAUCUCAAAAAAAAAAAAAAAAAAAAACCUAGAGCAGCUCGGCUAUCGGCGCGGCUCGGCUCGGCUCGGCUCAAGGAAGAAAAACGGCUCGGAGGAGCGGCUUGGCGGCUUGGAUCGGCUCGGCUCGGCUCGGAGGGGGGCUGGCACGCGCGAGUCAGAAAGCGGGUCGACGCCCGGGUCGGGUCGGGUUCGACAAAACGCGCGGAUCCUCUGGGUUACUUAAGGCCAAAACGACAUCGUUUUGGGAGGGUAUAAAAGGCACCUUCCUCCGUUUUUCGGCAGAACGCUCCUCCCCCUCUCUCUCUCUUCUUCCUUUUUCUCUCCCUUCUCUCUAGAAACUGAAGAACACCGGUGCCGGAUUCUGGAAAUUUUCGCCGGAAUUUCGUCGGAAGUUCGCCGGUUUCUGGGAUUAGUCGUCGGUUUCUGGGAUUCUUCUCCGAAAACUGGGCAGGUCGCCGGAAACUUCAAGGUUGGCCGGAGAUUUGGCCGAAAAAUUCAAGUUUCGCCGGAAUUUUCGUCGGAAUCUGGAAAUUUCCCAGAAAUUUCCAGAAAAAUUUUUCGCCAAAAUUUCUAGAAAAAAUUCUCCUCACUCUCAGAACACUCCUAAACCUUUCCUAGCUUCCUAUACGCCUUUUUCUCUCAAAUCAGUAGCUUUGCUCACUGUUUUCUCUGUGUUCAGCAUUGUUCCAAAGGGUCCCUUUUAUAGGGAUUGAUCAGGAGUUCCUGAUCAAUCCCAAUUCCUCCUUGGACGGGAAUUCAGUCUUUGAAUCCAACUGGACUCUUCUGAUUGAAUUCCCCUCCAGAGUAAGAUUCUUCAACUUUGAAUCUUAGCCAUCCAGAAUUAAAAUCAAAAAUAAAUAAAAAAAUACUAGAUAAUUAAAAGAUAUGAUAGUAUAAAAAUAAAAAAAUAAUAUCAGAUAAUUCAGAAAAAAUCAGAUAAAAUUAACAGAUAAUAAUAAAAAAAAAAACAUAAGAUAAACCCAAAAAUAUAUUACAAAAAAAAAAAAGAUAAUAAUAAUAAUAAAUAUAUAACUAUAUACAUACAAUACAUAUAAAUCUAAUCUAAAUAAAAAUAAAUACACAAAGAUAUACAUAAUAAUAAUGAAAUACAUAAAAUACAAAAGAAGAAAAAGAAAGAAAAAAAAAAUACAGGAUUGAAAUGGGCCUUACCCCUUUGGGCCAGGCCCAAUUGAUCUGGGUCCGGACCCAAUUGGGUGUCUACAGCUGCCCCUCUUUGCACAUUUUCUGUGAAACAGAAAUUGCGCAAAGACGUAGACACCCAAUCAAGACUCAACUCAACAUUUUUAUUUUUUGAUUUUUUUUUUAAAAAAAUUUUUGUUUUUUGUUUUUUGUUUUUUGUUUUUUUGUUUUUUGUUUUUUUGUUUUUUUUUUUUUUUUUUUUUUUUUUUUUUUUUUUUUUUUUUGCCGAAGUUCCUCUAAACAGAGGCACCACGACUUUGGAAAAAUAAAUUGCUCCUCUCAACAGAGGCACCACGACUUUGAAAAGUAAAUUGCUCCUCUCAACAGAGGUACCACGACUUUGAAAAGUAAACUGCUCCUCUAAACAGAGGCACCACGACUUUGGAAAAAUAAAUUGCUCCUCUAAACAGAGGCAACGGAACUUUGAAAAAUAAAUUGCUCCUCUAAACAGAGGCAACGAAACUUUGAAAAAUAAAUUGCUCCUCUAAACAGAGGCAACGGAACUUUGAAAAAAUAAAUUGCUCCUCUAAACAGAGGCACCACGACUUUGGAAAAAUAAAUUGCUCCUCUAAACAGAGGCACCACGACUUUGGAAAAAUAAAUUGCUCCUUUGGAAAAAUAAAUUGCUCCUUUGGAAAAAUAAAUUGCUCCUCUCAACAGAGGUACCACGACUUUGAAAAAAUAAAUUGCUCCUCUAAACAGAGGCACCACGACUUUUGGAAAAAUAAAUUGCUCCUCUAAACAGAGGCAACGGAACUUUGAAAAAUAAAUUGCUCCUCUAAACAGAGGCAACGGAACUUUGAAAAGUAAAUUGCUCCUCUAAACAGAGGCAACGAACUUUGAAAAGUAAAUUGCUCCUCUAAACAGAGGCAACGAACUUUGAAAAGUAAAUACUCCUAGACGAUCAUGUCCGAAGGAGUUGAAAGUUGUGUUUGAAGGGAUUUCAGGAGAUUAUGCCCAAAGGUCUUAUAAAUCAACCCCGAUACCAAGAGACAUCCUAUUUCAAGGAUUAGGAACUUACCUGACAAGUUUCUUCUCAAACUUGCAAAGUCUUUUCAUACCUGUCUUUUCCAUGUGGGAUGUUGGAACACCCCUGCUUCUUGAAUUUAUACACUAUACUUUCCUGAAAGUAGUGUAUGCUAUGCAAAUGCAUAUGAACUUCAAUGCAUGCUAUGCAAAUGUUGGCCAAUUAAUUCCUGUUCAAUGUAUGGUACUCAAGUUUCUCAAGCUCCUUUUUUUUCUUGGGUGUCAAGCCCUUUGAUUCCUCAAGGAUCCAAUUGCACUGUUCUUCUAAGAUCGAACCAGUGUGACUCUUAAUUAUCUCUUCCGCUCAGAUUCUUCCUUGUUCUGUUUUUCAAUACUUUGGAAUAAGCUUCAUCAAUCGAUCAUCCCUUGACCAUCAUUCAAUGAAUUUCUCAGCGCUAGCAAAUUUCAUAACAAAUUUCAAAACAAAUUUCAUCCACCAUCAUUGGGUCCUUGCUCAUGGGUGUCUCAGCAUUAACCAUUCCAAAACAAACUCUGUCCACUGAUUGUUCCCACCAUUCAACCAAUUCAUCCUUGUACUCAUCACUUGGUUGUAUCACUGCCCCAUUUCUUCAUUUGAUCACAUCAUAUAUCCUUCUAAAUCAUCUCCUCUAGGUUUCUACCAUUUCUUCAUUUUGUCUCCACCAUCAUCUUAGAUUUCUUUUCAAAUGAAUACAAGACUCUUUUAAACACAUAUUCAUUCAUUCAUUAUCAUUUUAAAUCCUGACAAAUACAAUGCAAUCAAGCAUUUUCUCAAUUCAUUCUAGGGGUGUAAUGAUAAGAGAACACAAGGUGAAUUAUGGUAAAGAUAAAUAAUGAAGAUCUGUUUUGGUACAAAAUAAAUGGGAAACGAAAUAAAUUGGAUACAUGUCAUUGGGGUGAAUGGUAUGUCCAAAUGAUGAAUAUUCAGACAAUUUUCAACAUUAAUCUAGGAUUCUUUUUCAAAAACUCAUUCCAUUUACUGUUGAAGUCAUCUUGAGCUUAGCGAACUCUGCCCCAGUCUUUGAGGGAUCUUCAGAUAUCUUUGAUCUUUCAUUCAUGUGAGCCAUUUGACCUGGAUCUUUUUUUUUUUUUUUUUUGGUACCAAAAUCACCCUUUCAGAUUUUCAAUUUGGAUCUCUUUUUUCAUUUUUUUAUUUUCUCAUUUUCUCAUUUUUUCCCUUUUUUUUUUUUUUUUUUUUCUUUUCUCAUUUUUCAUCCAGUGUUGAUAUCUUUCAUGUAGCAUGAUUUCAUUGCUUCAUCAUGAGCCUAUCUUUGCUCAACCUAUGAUCAUUCAAGUUGGGUAUUCACACUUGAUCCAAAUGGACUUUUCAAGGUUGUAAUGUAGGCCAAGGUGAAGGGUAAUAAAAAAAUGGAUAUAAUAGGCUCAAAACAUAUAUUAAAAAGGUUCAAAACCAAAGGAUUAUUUGAUACAACUUGGCAUUUUACCCCACAUCAUUUCACUGCUUUUUCUUUCCUCACACAAAGGAUCUCAUUACUUUGCCCCAAAUCAUGUGUGGCAUUUAUUUUUCUUUUUACUUUUCUUUCUCUUUUCAUCUUCGAGACCUUUUGUGGUGUUUUUUUUUCUUUUUUUUUUUUUCAAAAUUUACCCUCCAGUGUAGAGGGUGAUCCUUGGUUGGGGUUCUUAAAAAAAAAAAAUGAUGAUUGGCUCAAAGGGGUAGCAAUAAAUGGUUUUUCCAAUGGUAAAAGAAAGAUGGCCAUUUUUCAUCUCAAUUGUGAAUACCUUUCUUGAACAUCAUCUAUUGAACAAAGCUCAUGAACUUGUAUAAAAUAUUGCACACCUUCAAGAUAUAUCUCUUUCAUCUCUGGUGAUGGCUUACCCUCUUUAUUUUCGCUCAAAUCAUCUCCUCUGUGAAUGAGUUCUCAAAAUUAAAUUCCAGAAUUAUUGUUAUCAUUGUCUAAAUAUUCAUCAUCUGAAAUUUAAGAAUGGGAAUGUGAAGUUAUGGAAGGUAACAAGGCAUGGAAUAAUGGUCAAGUGAAAGAGAAAAAUGUAAUGAAAUGCAUUGACUUGCCUUUAUUAAAAUGAUAACAAGUGAAGUCAUAUUGCAAAAAAAAUCUAACAUUUUUGAAAAGAAAUCCCAAAAUGACAGAAGAAACCUUCAACCAGCCUUAUCUCCAUUGACAUCUUGCCCCUCAAUUCAUUGUGAAUCUCCGGAUCCUUUCUGUUCUUGACUUUCGCUCAGUACACUAACAUUAGGUGCUGUUACUUUUCCUUGAUCAAAACUUACCAUUCCAUCAUUGAUCAACCGUUGUACCUUAUACUUUAAAGCAGUGCAAUUUUCAGUAGAAUGGCCAGUAAUUCCAUAAUGAUAGUCACAACGGGCUGUAGGAUCAUACCACUUUGGAUAGGGUGGUUUAAGUGGUUCCACAUGGCUGGGGGCAAUCAAGUGGCUAUUAUAGAGUUCUCGAUAUAACUCUGUAUAAGUCAUAGGGAUUGGAUCAAAUACAGGUUUUUCUCGAGCAGUCCGUUGUUCUCGUGAGCCACUUGCUGGGUUAGUAGGGCGAAUUUGGGUUCUUACAGGAGCUUGAAUGUUAAGGCGAUAAGUGGAUGAAUAAGAUGGUUGGGGAGCUAGCUGGUAUGGGUAGGAUGAGACAUUAUUCACAGCGGGAUAGUAUGGAGAGUAGCCUUGGGAUGGAUAGGGUUGAUAACCCCUAAAUUGUUGUCUAUCGAAGCUCACAGCUUGAGCUUCAGCUUCUUUCUUUUCUGAUGCCUUCUUGGUUUCUCCUCCUUUCAACUUGCCAUUUUUAUGGCACUUUCAAUAAUUUCUCCAGAGAUCACCAUGUCAAGCAAAAUUUUUUGUUGCAUUCCCUAUCAUCUUUUCAUAAUAAGGAGGUUUCAAAGUGCUAACAAACAGCACUGUGGUCUCUUUUUCUGUCAGAGGAGGUUGUACCUGUGAAGCUAUAUCUCUCAAUCUCUGGGCAUAUUCUUUAAAAGACUCGUUUGACUUUUUCUCCAGAUUCUGCAAAGACAAACGAUCUGGGGCCAAAUCGAUAAUGUGUCGAUAUUGACUGAUGAAGUCAUGAGCCAUAUCGCUCCAAGAGCGAAUACGAGUCCUAUCCAACUGAACAUACCAUCUGGCGGCAGAGCCAGUAAGACUGUCCUGGAAAACAUGCAUCAAGAGUUUUUCAUCAUGUGCAUGAGCUGCCAUCUUUCUGCAAUACAUAGUGAUGUGGGUUUUGGGGCACUUUGUACCGUCAUAUUUUUCAAAUUUCGGUACUUUAAACUUAUAGGGAAUAACCACAUCAGGAACUAGGCAAAGCCCAGCAGCAUCAACUGACCCAUAAAAGUUAAAUCCUUCUACAGCCCGUAGCCUCUGCUCUAACAUGCUAAUCUUGAAACUUUCCUCAGCCUCUACUCUCAUCUUUUCUUUCUCCUUCUCUUCUAGAUCAGGAAUUGGUUCUGCUGCCUUUUCAGUGAAGACAGGAUUUAUAUAGCUGUUAUACUACCCUGGGUUGAAAGCUGAUGGCAUUCCAGGAUAGGCGAAAUGUUGUGGCGGGACCUCUUGGGCAGACUGGGCUUGAGGUGGGCCAAAACCUGGAGGGUACAAGGGGUCAGCUAUUUCUUGUAAUGGGGGAAUUUGCUGGCUUGUACUUCCUUCAACUCCUUUUCCUUUGUUCAUGUUAUUAAGAGCCUCCAGAAUCUUGCUCAGCUCACCCUCAAUCUUCUCCUGGGCUUUCUCUAUCUUUUCAAAUCUUUGGGAAUUUUCCUGCUCCAUUUGCCUUGCUCUGGACCUUGUGUUGUAUGGAUGAGCAGGGUUUUUGCUAGAUGGAGCUAUCCUGGGACCUUGAGUACCAUACUUAUGAUUAGAAAUGUUAUGCUGUGCCUUAUGUAUGAUGCUUUGAUAUACAAAUGAAAUGUACAUUUUUCUGAAUGAAAUCUAGUAUGAAAUGAAUGCAAAUGAUUGUGUUGAAACAUGAUCAUGAAAAGAAUACAGAUGCAUACAAUCAGACAAACAACAUGGUUAGUUUCGUGGAUGAAACGAAAGUGAUGCUGAUGCAUAAUGUUACAUAUAAUAAAAAUAACACACAAAGUUAAACAAUCAAAAUGAUUAGACAAACACCCUUUUUGUGUCCUAAUUUCAAGGCAUAUCUAUCAUUGGGUAGAAAGGGCUCUAUCUUAGGUGUAGGCACUUCUAAGGUUCACUAUAUGUAGUUUUAAGGUCAGGGUCUAAAGGUCCUCAAAUUGUUCCUUACAUCCCUGUCCUUCACAGACUAGUAAGGCACCAUAAUCCUCACCCAUUACAGGCUACAAGCGGAAAAGGUUCAAUUUGAGUGAGAGUAUUUCGCUAGCCACUGCGGAGGUAUUAGAUCUCACGAAAGCAAUAGGUACUUUACUCCCUCCUAGAGCGACGGAGCUCGGGUAUAGAGCUCAUGUUAUGCACAUGCAUAUGAAUGACAUAAUCAACAAAGUGAAUAAACAUGAAUGAAUAAUAACACAUAUAUACAAAAAGGGUUCAAUUUUAUUAGGCUUUUGGAUAACACAAAUUAUUUGCUGGCCUGACUCUCAAAGUCCCCAGUGGAGUCGCCAAGCUGUUGUAACAUCUAUAUCCGGGGAUCUAUCGCUAGACAUUGACUUUUAGGGAGUCGCCACCAAUCUUUUUUUAUUUAGGUGCGAUUGGCCACCUAAAGAAUCUGUCCUUUCAGGGAACACCUAAGCUUAAGGGUCCCUAAAAGAAUAGGUUCAGGUCUACUAACCAGAACAGGGUUCGGGAGUUCGGUUACGUGUGAGGAAGGUUAUAGCACCCUCACAACGCCCAUCAAAAGAUGGUACCAGCUUAAAUUCGUGUUAUCCAAAAGCCUUAAAAUUUUACCAAGUAAUUAGUUAUUGGAAAUUAUUCUCAAUUGACUCUAAUACUUUUAGCAGAAAAUUGAGAAAAUUCCCUCACCUCAGGAGUAUGCAAGAAAACUACUGUUUCACUUACAGAGGCUCCGUCGUCGGAUUAUUUAAAGAAAAAAAAAAUCAAAAUUAAGAUAGAAAGGAAGGAAAGAAUGAUUUUUUUUUGUAGGAAAAAUUGAUACUUUCAACUUUUCCCCAAAAAUAUUUUUUUGGAAAUUUCGAUUUUCAAGGAAAAUUGAUACUUUCAACUUUUCCUCAAAAACCCUUUUUUUGAAAAUUUAUUUCUAAGGAAAAUUGAUACUUUCAACUUUUCCCUAAAAAUAUUUUUUUGAAAUUUAUUUCUGAGGAAAAUUGAUACUUUCAACUUUUCCCCAAAAGUAUUUUUUGGAAAUUUAUUUCUAAGGAAAAUUGAUACUUUCAACUUUUCCCUAAAAAUAUAUAUAUUUUUUUGGAACUUUUGAUUUUUUUUAUUUAAAGAAAAAUAGAAAAAUAAAAAAAAAUAAAAAAAGAAAAGUAAAACAAAACUAAAAAUAAAAUAAAGAUAAAAAGAAUAUUAAAUAAACCUAAUCUAAUAAAUAAAAAUAAAUAAAUAAACAAAUAAAACAAAUAAAGAUCUCAAAAAAAAAAAAAAACCUAGAGCGGCUUGGCUAUCGGCGCGGCUCGGCUCGGCUCGGCUCAAGGAAGAAAAACGGCUCGGGGGAGCGGCUUGGCGGCUUGGAUCGGCUCGGCUCGGCUCGGAGGGGGGCUGGCACGCGCGGGUCAGAAAGCGGGUCGACGCCCGGGUCGGGUCGGGUUCGACAAAACGCGCGGAUCCUCUGGGUUACUUAAGGCCAAAACGACGUCGUUUUGGGAGGGUAUAAAAGGCACCUUCCUCCGUUUUUCGGCAGAACACUCCUCCCCCUCUCUCUCUCUUCUUCCUUUUUCUCUCCCUUCUCUCUAGAAACUGAAGAACACCGGUGCCGGAUUCUGGAAAUUUUCGCCGGAAUCUGGAAAUUUCACCGGAAUUUCGCCGGAAGUUCGCCGGUUUCUGGGAUUAGUCGCCGGUUUCUGGGAUUCUUCUCCGGAAACUGGGCAGGUCGCCGGAAACUUCAAGGUUGGCCGGAGAUUUGGCCGGAAAAUUCAAGUUUCGCCGAAAUUUUCGCCGGAAUCUGGAAAUUUCCUAGAAAUUUCCAGAAAAAUUUUUCGCCAAAAUUUCUAGAAAAAAUUCUCCUCACUCUCAGAACACUCCUAAACCUUUCCUAGCUUCCUAUACGCCUUUUUCUCUCAAAUCAGUAGCUUUGCUCACUGUUUUCUCUGUGUUCAGCAUUGUUCCAGAGGGUCCCUUUUAUAGGAGUUGAUCAGGAGUUCCUGAUCAAUCCCAAUUCCUCCUUGGAUGGGAAUUCAGUCUUUGAAUCCAACUGGACUCUUCUGAUUGAAUUCCCCUCCAGAGUGGGAUUCUUCAACUUUGAAUCUUAGCCAUCCAGAAUUAAAAUAAAAAUAAAUAAAAAAAAUACUAGAUAAUCAAAAGAUAUGAUAGUAUAAAAAUAAAAAAAUAAUAUCAGAUAAUUCAGAAAAAAUCAGAUAAAAUUAACAGAUAAUAAUAAAAUAAAAAAAUAACAUAAGAUAAACCCAAAAAUAUAUUACAAAAAAAAAAAAAAGAUAAUAAUAAUAAUAAAUAUAUAACUAUAUACAUACAAUACAUAUAAAUCUAAUCUAAAUAAAAAUAAAUACACAAAGAUAUACAUAAUAAUAAUGAAAUACAUAAAAUACAAAAGAAGAAAAAGAAAGAAAAAAAAAAUACAGGAUUGAAAUGGGCCUUACCCCUUUGGGCCUGGCCCAAUUGAUCUGGGUCCGGACCCAAUUGGGUGUCUACAACUUUUUUUGGGGAUAAAGGUUUUUUUUAAAGGAUUAGAGCCUAUAGCAAAAAACAAACUUUUUUUUUAAUCUUUUAUGAUCUUUCAAUGAUAAAAAUUGAUAAGAAAUUGAUUUUUACAGUAGAUUAAUGACAGAAGUUGGUGAGAAAUUGAUUUCUAUAUAUAAAAAAUGUCAAUGAAUAAAAAAUGGAUGUGAGGGAAAUUGAUAGAAAGUUAAAAAGAAUUGGUGAAUGAAAAAAUAAGAAAUCUGACAAAAGAAUGGGUGAAUGAGAAUGAUGAGAAGCUGGGGUACUCAGGUGGGACACAUCUUUAAUUCUUUUCCCUUCUUUCCUUUCUUUUUGUUAUUUCAUUUCAUUUUCCUCAUUCAUUCCCUAUUUGAACUAUUCUCUCCAAAAAAUUAAAUGUCAAUCAGCAACCAUCCUCUUAGGCCAUUAGGCGUCAUUGUUCACAAUCACACUGGUGGUGGUUUCACUCCAUACUUCAGCCACUUCUGCCUUUUCACCCUUUCUAUUACUUUUUUAGUUUAGGUUUUAUAAAAAUAAAAUAAAAUAAAAUCCCUAAAGCUCUAAUUUUAAACACAAAAAUUAACCCGCCGCCAUCCUAUUUGUCAUUGUCAUCGUUCCGUUACUGAAAAAUCAAUCUUACUUCCCCAAUUCUUUCUUAUUUACCUUUUGAUUUGAUUGAUUUUUCCUAAAAUUCCCUUUUCAUCCUGAGUCACCAUUAUUACGACAAUGAUCCAACCUGCUGUUGUUCAUCGUAGCCGACAAGGCAAUCUAUUCGAUCAUGUAAUUUUUUUAUAUGUUAUUUUACAAUCUUCUUUUAGAUAUGAAUGUUGAGCUAAAAGCCUCUAAUCUAAUCAUAUCAACGAAAAUAAAAUCAAAUAAUAAAUCAAAUGCACAAGAAAUAAUAAUUUAACAUGGUUUGAUCCAAUCAACUUACGUCCACAGAUAAGAAAUAAGCUCUACUAGUUGUAGAUAAUUAUAAAUAUACAUCAAAUCAUCAACCUCACUCAAUAAUCAAUACUCAUAAGACACUCUCAAUCUCUUCUAGUCCUAUGAAGUAUUCUCAACCCAAACAAACACAAACCUAAACCCUUGUGCACCCUUUCAACAUAACCAAACAUAUACCCAUAUGCUUUCAUACAUCAUAUCUAUAUGGACCCUUUCAGUCUCCUCUAAUCCACUCACAAACAAGCAUACACACCCAUAAGACGUAGAGCCCUAAUACUCUUAUAAGGUGUCUAUAUCACAAAACCCUACAACUCUUUAUAUUUUUUUCUCAUAUCUAACCCCGUAGAGACUUCACAUAUUUAUAACCAUACAAAUUUGUCCAUUAAGAAUCCUUCUCCUCUUAGAAUUCUUCUCCUGUAAGUCAAACUUGCUUAUUAAGAAUCUCUUUCCCUUUAAAAUUAUUCUCUUGCAAGUCAAACUUACCUAUUAAGAAUCAUUUUUCUCUUAGAAUUCUUCUUUUGCAACUCUUCUUGUCCAUCCAGCAAUAUCUAACAAAUCUCAAACAAAACCUCUAACAAAUCUCAAACAAAUCUUUUAUGAGAUUUGAGUUAAUAUUUUCAACAAUGAUAACUUCUUUAACUAUAAGACUAAAAACAAGAAAAGUGAAAAAUUAGAUAUUUCUUAUUAAACUUUUCUUUUUUAAUUUAAUUUUUUUUAAAUCAUGGUAUAGGUGAAGUAAUCUUUUGUAAUUAGUGUAAUUUUCUUUAUCAUUCUUUUUUAAUGAAUUUAUCUUUUUAGUGCUUAUUUUUAUUUUUUUUAUUCUUACGUGACUUUUUUUAAGGAUAUUUCUUUGAAUUUCAAGAUCUUUUGCUCGGUGAAGCUUUUUUUUUUUUUUUUUUUUUACAAUUAGUUGUCUUUGAAAUUAUUGAUAACGAUGGUUUUCCAACUUUUUUUGGGCAAAAAAAGGAUGGAUUUUCAGCUUCAUUUUUAUUAUCUACUUUAAUCACGUUUAGGUUCAUAUUAUUAUAGAUCAAAACCCUAUGUCAUCACUUGUUUUGUUGUAAUAUCGGUGAUUGUACAUGCUUGAUUUUCUGAUGUGUCAAUAUUGCAAGCAUUUUUUUUCAAGUAGGAGUAUAACUUUACAUUAAGCAUGGUGUAGUAGGCAUAAUGUUGUUUGUCCGCAUGUUGGUUGCGGAAUUAAUUUAAGGAUUAGAAAGGCUAAAAAUUUAUGUGCAUUGCAAUGGAUGUGGCCAAGCUUUCCAACUAGAAAAAUGGAAAAGCACAUAACGGUGUUUCAUGAACCUUUUAGGUGUCCUUUUGGAAUAGUCUUUAAGAAGAAAGACAUAGUAAGUCACACUCUUUUUUACAUAAAUUUUAUUUCACUUUCUUUAUUUCAGUUAAUUAGGUUGUUAUUAUUGUCAAUUUUAGUUAAUUGAUUUCAAAAGUAGAACACGAGUUAAUUCGAGAAUGUUAAAAGGGAACACUUCAUAUGUUGUUUUCAUAUUAGUGACUUUUGAUCUUGAGUGUAAGGUAUUGACAAAGUUUUCUCUCUGUGUAUAUAUAUAUAUAUAUAUAUAUAUAUAUAAUAUAUAUAUAUAUAUAUCUUUUUUUGAGUUCUUGGACUAUUAUAUAACGUUCAUAUAUUAUUUAUCAAUAAACUUGUAAACUUAAUGAUGCUAUAUAGUUGUAUUCAUUUAAAAUAUUGUGCGAUUUGAGUAGGCUAUUUUUUGCUAUUUUUUAGUAUAUACAUAUGUUUCAUGGUUGACAAGAGUUUGACACAUUAAGCUUUGCUAAUUUAAAUGUCCUUUUCAAUUGAAUGAUUCCAUAAAUUGAAUAAUUAGAUUAAUUAUGUUUAAGAAUAGAAUUACAUCAUAUUAUUCAUAAUAUAAAAAACAUGUGUUCUAUUUAUUACUAGUUCCAUUACAUAUGUGCAUACAUUUUUUUAUUAUGAUUUUCAAAUUUGUAGGUUGAUGCUUAGUAAUUGUUCAUUAAAAAAAUAAAAAUAACAUCGAUAUCAAUAGUGAAAGGGUCUUAUUUAUUUUUGUCGACAGCUUUUGAAUUAUUAUUUUUUUUAUCGGUUUGAAUUUUACUUUGUGAAGUUGAACUCCAUUUGAUUGUUUUAGAAAUUCCAAUUUCACUUUUGAUUUUGAGAUGCAUUAUUUUUUUAAUAUAAUUUAUAAAUUCUAAGCCUAAGAUAAGAAAAUCGAAUUCCUUUUAUUAAUUAAAAUUUUGUUUUAUUCAUCAAUUACUUGACAAUGAAACUAAACUAUUAAUUUUAGACAAAAAAUAAAAAUCAUUAUGCGAAAACAGCUUUUUACUUUAAAAUUCUAUCCCUUUUCUUUGUUGUAAAAUUUUUUUAUUAUUAAUUAUUGAUUAUGUAUGUGCUUGGUAUUUUAAGCGUUAAGGUCCUAAAUGAUAAUGGUUGCAGGUUUCUUUGAUUGUAUAUUUGGCGCAGAAAUUUUUUUUUUUUUUUUUGCUUUUUCUUUUUAAUUUCAUGGACUUUCUGUUUUUACCAUCAAUCUUGUUCUUUUUUUUUAGAUAAAUCAAUCUUUGUUAUUUAUAUAUAUUCUUGAAAAAAAAAAGGCCAUUGUGGAAAAGAACCUUAUCCAAUUCAAUCUUCUGUUGCUAAGGAAAAAGAAAAUAAAAAAUCAAUCUACCCAAAAAAAAAAAAAAUGAAGAUCAAUCCAAAUGUUAAUUGAAUAAGGUUCGGUCAGCUUUAAUUUGAAUAAAACUUUAUAAAUGUAUAACUUAUUUGAAAAAUGAGUAAAGUUGGAUCAAAAGUGAACCGACCCAAAAAAAAAAAAAAAAAAAAGAAAAGAAAGAAAGAACCUAAGUGAACUCAAAUCGUUGAUAAUCCUAACAAAGUUAUUUGCCCUUUGUGUUUGUAGUCUUUUACGAACCUUAACAAUCACAAUGCACAAUCAAUUCAAACAAAUUUAUUUGUCACACCUAAUAAAUUUAUGAAAAAAUUCCUUUCUUGAACCUUAUCAUUCACGCACUUUGACUACGAUUUCUCAUCUCCUAACUUUUUGAGAUACACCUUUUUGUUUUUCAAACAAGCGUAAGUAGGGAGGAUGUAGUACAAGUAUCAUUUGUUUGAAGUUUAUACACAGAUUUUAACUUUUGAAGAGCAAGUUUUUAAUCAAAUUUUUUAAUAAGAUAUCAUUAAUUAUUAUGUUCUAAAUUAUUAAUAUAAAAAUAUUGAAUGUAAUAAAAAAAUAAAAAUACUAAAUUAAAAAUAUUAAUUUUUAUUGAAUAUGAACAGUAUUGAAGAGUUAGAAUUGUACAUACAUUAAUUUCGUUACCCCAAAAAUAACUUUUAAGGCUAAUUAUUGUUGUAACUCAUAAGUUAAUUUUAUUGGAAAUUUUCAAGAUUUUUACAAAAAGAAUCAUCUAAAUUUUAGUUUUCAAAAUGAAUUAUAACUGCGUUUGGCUCACAAUUAAUUAUUUUGAAUUCAAAUAACCCAUCUAUAUAUUUUUCUUCUUUUUCAAAAAAGCAAAUUAGGAAUUAGUCAUGCAUGCUUAAUCUCUUGUCUGACUCAGAUAUUUAGAAAACAAACUCCUCCACUAUAGUUUACAAAUCAUAAAAUUGAUCAAAUUAGUAAGUGUUUCGCAACCAAACCACAAUUUAGAUUUAAUAUUGCUAACAAAUACGUAAUUAUUUUGGAACGGACAGCAGUUAUGAAGUUGUGUGUCCAAGCAAAGAGAAGUGCGUCCAAAGAAGAUCCCACCAUGAAUUUGGUUUAGAGUAAUUGCGUGCUUCGAUCUUGUCCCUUGGGCCAUGGCUCUGUUAUUCGAAUCAGUUGUUGGGUUCAUCUUUCCAAGCAAAGAGAAGUGCGUCCAAAGAAGAUCCCACCAUGAAUUUGGUUUAGAGUAAUUGCGUGCUUCGAUCUUGUCCCUUGGGCCAUGGCUCUGUUAUUCGAAUCAGUUGUUGGGUUCAUCUUUCAUCUUAGACAAGGUGAAGGUGGGGUCGAACGUCGAAAUCUCACUCUCAUCCAAAAUAACUUUUCGUGGCAACUUAAGCAUCGGAAUAGUACUAUCAGAUACAUGUCCCUGGAAAAUGUGCGAGGAGAGAAAAAAAACAAACAAGCUUCUCUUGUAAGGGUUUACCAUCCACAUCAAGCGUGUGAGACCCGCAGCUUGAAUAAUUACGUUCAAAUUUUCCACAUAAUUGGAAGACCCUUGGCCUUCUUUUCUCUCCAAAUCAUUCUCUCUAAUAUAAAACCCUGUUGCCCAAGAGCCAAGAGAAACAAACCCGAAUUUGAGUCAUCUGAUUUUUCGUGCUUGGGUUAACAUGGAAAAUAUUACUCCAGAGCUUGCAUUACCAGGAUUUCGCUUCCACCCCACAGAAGAAGAACUUGUCGACUAUUAUCUUAAGGAAACGGCACUGGGUAAAAAUUUACAGUCCGUCAUCAUUGGUUUUCUCAACAUUUAUGAACAUGACCCUUGGGAUUUGCCAGGUAACCAACAUUUCGGUCUCUUUAAUUAUCGAUUGCAUGUAGUAGUAAUUAAGUCGAUGUCGUUGUAACAUGAAUGUGACUAUGUGAGGGAUAUAUAAGUACAUAUGCUAUUUUUUACUUUUUCUAGAAAGCAAGAAUUGUCAUCAGCUUCCAAAUUUGAGGAGUGUCGACUUUAGGUCUGGCAAAGAUAGGGGAGAGAGAGUGGUAUUUCUUUGUGCGCAGAGACAAAAGAAGUGGUCAUGUUGGGAAGCCCAACAGGAGAGCUGAGAAGGGCUACUGGAAGGCAACUGGGUCUGACCGCCAAAUCAGAUGUCUCAAGAAGCCCAAAAAAACGGUGGGCCUCAGAAAAACUUUGGUUUUUUACACAGGGAAAGCACCAAAAGGCUGCAGAACUGAUUGGGUCAUGAACGAGUACAGACUCUCCAGCACCUCCUUUCCUAGGGUACUAGCAUCAGCUUAUCUGAUUGUCAAUUAUUGGAGAAUGAACUUAUUUAUAUAUGUAUAGCCAUUUUAUGUGAAUUCAGGAGGAUAUAGUACUCUGCAAAAUUUACAGAAAGGCAACACCGUUGAGGGUGUUGGAGCAAAGGGCAGAAGAACAUGCCACCAGGACAUCUUAAAUCCUUUCCUGAUUCGUUACUCAAAUUAACUAUAAUACGCCCUUGUCCCUGCAAGACCUUGAUUAUGGAGCAGAGGAGGGAGAGGAAUUGGACACACCAGAAAACUUAGAAGCUGAUUCCUCUUUUGCAAUGUGGUGAAUUAGUAUUGAGCAAUUAGGCAUGCAUGCCAGUAGUAUAAUAAAGAUGAUAAUUAAUUUGUUUAAUCUAACUUAAAUGCAUGCAUUUGUAUGUUUAUGGAGUUCUUUUACGGUUGUAAUUUUAUUUUAGAUGCUUUUGUAACAAUGCAUUAAUUAGUUUAAUGCUCUUACCGUUUUAAUUAGCCUUCUACUUCGAUUGCUCUGCUUCAAAGUUCAAAGAAAUGAGAAAAUUAGUCACUAUCUCUAUAAAAUUCAAAACUUGCAAAUGAAAGAGAUCAUAUCAUAAUUCAAACUCAAGCAUGAAGACAACAUAGAAUUAAACAUUAUUUGGGUUAUUAUGUCCCCAUAUAAUAUUUUUUACUCUUUCCAAGUGAAGAAGCUAAUUGCCAUCAAAACAUCAAAAGAGUUAUUUUGAAAAAUAAUAAUAAUAAGAAUGACACAACAAUUAAAAAUAUAUAAUCUUUUGAUUUAUUAGAAGAAAUUUUUUAUGAAAAAUGUGAAAUAUUCUUUACUUUUUCCAAAUUGAGAUGUUGAUUAGCAUCAAAAUAUUAAAAAAAAAAAGUUAUUUUGAAUGAUAGUAAUAUGAAUGAAGCAACAAUUAAAAAUAUAUCAUCUUUUCAUUUAAUAGAAGAAAUUUUUUAUAGAGAAUAUGAGAAAAUGAGAAAAUUAGCCACAAUCUCUAUAAAUUUUUUUGUAUGAUUAACUAUGGUUUAAAUAUUAUUUAAAAGAAAUAAAUUAUAUUUAAUGCAUUCUUUUAUUAAUAUUUAAAAGAAGACAACACAUUAAUUAUAUUUUUAAAAUAUAUAUUAUUUUAUUCCGUAUCAUUAAACCAAUCUUUUAAUGCAUAAAAAAAGGGACCAAUCUCUUAAAUGAAGUCGAAGAAAUUAUUGUACUUUUAUGUUAGCAAGGAAGUUUCAAAGAAAGGGACUUUUUUUUUUUUUUUUUUUUUUUUUUUUUAAGGAAAAUGGGAUUUAGAUAUUCUAAAUUAGCAUAAAUUAUGCGAUAAAAAUAUAAUAUACUAAAAAAUAAAAUUUAUGAUUAUUUUUAAAAUUUUAAAAUUUGUUAAAACUUUAUUUAAUUAACGAUGAAUUUGAAAUUUCUAAACAAAAUAAAGAGAAACUCAAACCAAUUUUCUUUUAAUAUAUUAUCUGUAAGACAUAAGUAUAUUGAAUUUUAACUAAAUUUCACAAUUUUUAAUUUUUCAUUUUCGUAAUUUGUAAAUAUACAUAUCAAACCAUAUAUUUAAUCUGUCAAUAAACAUGGCAUAAGUGGAUUUUAUGUUAUAUUUUGACUUAGUCGUGUUGGAAACCCUUUCUUCAAAAAUAAAUAUUUGUUAAUGAAGUCUUGAUUUAAUGAUAAGAAAAAAAAAUCUUAAAAUUUGAAGUUUUAAAUUUAAGUCUUUCUAUUUUAAUUGUAUAUUAAUUUAUUAAUUAAUUGUUUAAUAAUUACAACAUAAAAAAAAACUAAGAGAAUUAACACAUCAUAUCACCAAAAUAUUGAUCACCAAAUUAAGGACGAGCUCCUUUUAUUUAUUGAUAUUGAUAUUAUUCCAGAUCAACAUGGUAAAUAUCUCACAUACAUAUAUGAUGAUAUAUAUGUACUAGCAGCGGAUUUUUUUUUUAUUUUAAUAAUUAUAAUAAUGUGAUUGAUAAUUGCUUUUCUUUCAUAAUUAAUUAUUAAAGUGCCUAAGCAAAGGGCCUUUGAUUGUAGCAGUCGAGGUUGUUUCCGUAGCUCACUUUCAAUAUGUCACAAUAUCUCUUAUAGAAUCCGAUUCGAUCCUCAACCUGAGGGUUAGGUCCUUUGCCGCAUUCGAUGCCACCAUUGAUGAUGUUGGUAAUGACCCCAUAUCCAGGGACCCGACCGGCGGCCGUGUCUCCGGCGGAUGGCUUCCACUGACCAGUAAUGACAUCGUGACACGAAGGUUUUGGUGACUGUGGUGUCAUCCAGAACCAAAGAGCUGUCUUGAAAGAAAUGGUCGGGUCCCUUGCCACCGCAUCGGGGUCGUUCAGCAGAUCAACGUUUAUUGCUUUUCCUGCUGGACCAUAGUUGUAGUUGCUGCCAAAGUCAAGGUCAAGGUCAAGUCAAGAUAUAGUAAGGAUUUUCAUUUUUCAACAAGCAAUUUUCCCCCCAUAUUCCCAGCUUUUUAAUCCUAUCAUAUUUUAUUAUUUUAAGGGUAAAAUAUGUUUUUAAAUUCAACGAACUUUCUAUUAAAAAGAUUAAACACACUAUGCUUAUGUUUGUGAUUAGUCAAUAGUUAUGCAUGGAAAAUGAAAACCAAAUGAGCUAUAUAUGCUUGUUGUUUAACAAAAAUGCCUUAAUAGUAAUUUUCUUGGGUCACAACUCUGAAUCUAGUUAAUUCACUCGAAACAAGUACACUUACAAUGAGAUCUGGAUUGGACCACGGCCAAAAUAUUUUUUACCCGGUGCACAAGGCCAUUGUUGACUUGCAACACAGUAAUCUCCAGGAUUGCCCUGUUCCCGAACGAAGCAAUAUCCCCAUGCGUAUGGACCAUCCGGUGCAGUUGCCCACCCACCUAUACAAGAAUUGUGAAGUACCCCUUUAAUUAUGCCGUCCAUUAACUAUUUGCCAACUAAAUAUUAAUGUCUGCCAACCAUUAACCACGCAUGCAAGACUAAAGUUAUGGAGAUAAUAGAGACAAUCAAGAAGUUAAUUUUUUUUAAUGAGAAAAAUGAACCUGUAGUUUCAUGGGAAGUUUGAGCCAAGAACGCAGCAAUUUCUCUUUUACGAGUAUCAACAUCGCCUGUGGUUCCGAAAGCGCCAAAGGAGUUGGCAGCGGCAAUGAAAGCAUCGUAUGUAUAGAAACCAUUGCCAGGGCAGUUAGCAUCGUUACGAUGCUUUAAUAUCUCAUUGAACAGGUCGCGGCUGAUAAGCGGACUGAUAUCAGCCAAGCCCCUUAAUGCAGAUGCCAAAACGAACAGAAUCAGAGCCAAGAACCUCAUUUUUUUUUUCUGCUUGGCUAGCUACUGAAGUGUUUUACGCGUGGGAUGUGGAGUCCCAUGUGAAGGAUCAGGCUGGUAUUUAUAGAGUGGGUCAGGAGAGAGAGAGAUCCUAACAAAACCUUAUUCUUCUUAAUAUUCUAGAGACGAAGGCGGCCUUUAUCUGUUAGGCUAAAAACCUCCAAUCCAAUCACACCAGCGGAAACGAAAUCAAACAAUAAAAUCAAACAGACAAGAGACAACAAUUUAACGUGGUUCGGUCCAACUGACCUAUAUUUACGGAUGAGAAACAAGAUUCACUAGUUGUAGAGAAUUACAAACUGACAUCAAAUCAUCAACCUCACUCAACAAUCAAUACUCAUAAGAUACUUUCAGUCUCCUCUAGUCCUAUUAAGUAUUCUCAAUCCAAACAAACCCAAACCCAAACCCAAACCCUUGUGCACCCUUUCAACAUAACCAAACACAUAACCAUAUGCUCCCAUACAUCAUACCUAUGUGGACCCUCUCAGUCUCCUUUAGUCCACUCAUAAAUAAACAUACACACCCAUAAGACGUAGAGCCCCAAUAUUUCUAUGGGGUGUCUAUCCCACAAAAUCCUAUAGCUCUCUUACAUCUUUUUCUCAUACCUAACCCUGUAGAGACUUCACGUAUUUAUAACCAUGCAAACUUGCCCAUUAAGAAUCACUCUCCCUCUUAGAAUUCUUCUCCUGUAAGUCAAACUUGCCUAUUAAGAAUCCAUUUCCUUUUAGAAUUUUUCUCUUCUCUUGCAAGUCAAACUUACCUAUUAAGAAUCUUUUUUCUCUUAUAAUUAUUCUUUUGCAAGUCUUCUUGUCCAUCAAGCAAUAUCUGAAAAAUCUCAAACAAAUCGCAAACAAAUCUCUUACGAGAUUUGAGUCAUUAUUCCCAACAUUAUCAUCACAAAGUAGAAGUAUGAUGAUUGCUUGAAAGCUUGUAUACCUGACAAAUAUGAGAAAGGGCGAACAGGUAUCGUUCUUGGACCGUUUUCUUAGUCCAAGCUUAUCUUGACAUGACUUAACCAAGUUGGAAUAAGUUGAAAUUCCAUUUUGUUAGAAUUCAUAUGUUUUUGUCUCUGCAAGUGGCGUUGAUUGCAGAGAAAAUAUUCAAGCUGAGCAGCCCGAAAAAAGAAAACAAAUCUUAUCCUUGUCAGAUUACAAAAUUAAGAAAUAACAUGCAAAAACCUAGAUAGCUACGGAAGUACUUGAAGAAAAUGAGGCAGAGCAUCCAUUUUGGGAUAUACUUGAAGCUGGCCGGAUGAGUUUUAACACUAGUUCGACCGAUCUCUCCCUUACGAUAAUCUCCAAAUCCUGUUUUUAGAAUUAUAGAGCAAUUUUUUUUCAUAUUACUGUUUAGUAGUAAACAAAUUAAACAUAAAAAGGCCAAAAGUUUUUCAAUUUAUAUAUCUUCAACCAUCCGAUUCUUUUAGUAAUUGCUUCAUAAGAUAAUGGACAAGUUAGAAGAAAUAACUACAUAUACAGAAUAAGAUUUCUUCAAUUGAGAGUUGAAACAGAGAAUAUCAAAAUUAGUAGGGUUAAUGUGUGAUUGAGCCCUUGAACUAUAUUAUUUCUUAUGAUUUUAUACAUAAAAUCUAUAUAUAAAAAUUCGACCUCCAAAAGUAUUAAUAGCGAUAAACUUAAAUACCCCUAUAAAUUUUUAAAUUAACAAAUUCAUCCUUAAAUAUAUAGCUUUUAUUAAUUUAUUUAAAUUUAAUUUAAAUCAACUAAAUUUUCAAAUAGAGUUUAUAUAAAAUUAAACUACUUAGAAUAUUUAAAUUUUAAUUUCAAAAGUGUUACAAGUUAUUGUCUAAAUAUUUUUAGUAAAUAUUUUUAUAAAGUCUAAUAUAAAUAAAUUUUUUUAUUACUAGACUUCUUUUUAUAAUUAGACUUAAAAAGUGUUAAAAAUAAUUGAUUAAAAUACCAUGGGUAAUUUUUUUUUAUAAAUUUUAAUUUAAAUGACUUUUUUAUUAAUUGACUUUUUUUUUAUAAGUACAACGAUUUAUCACAUUAAAUGAAAAUAUAAAUAAAAUGAGAUUAAAACUUACUGUGAAUAAGAAUAAACAAUUAUAUAGAUUUUAUUUAUUUAAUUGUUGUACAAACAAUUUUAUAUAUAUAUAUAUAUAUAGUUUAUAUUGAUAACUAAAUUAAUUAAAAAUACUCAUAUUAAGUAGUUGAAGUGUAUUUGUUUUCUUCUUUUUUAUUUUUACCUUUCAAUUUUUUGUUCCAAUAUGUUAACUAUAUAUGUAUAUUAGUGAUUUUAUUAUUUAUAUGUUUUAUGAGUUGAUCAUUUAAUGAUUGAUAAUAUAAUUAAAUCUUUUUAGUCCCAUGAAAUAAUUCUUUAAUAUAUCAUUUUUACAAUUUAGUUUGACAUCUAUAAUUAAUGUCUCUUUUGUAUUUUUUAUCUCUAGAAUUUUAUAAUUAUUAUUCUUAUGAAUCAAAAUUAAUAUCAAAUCAAAUGCAAAUCAAUUACAUCAUCUCUACCAACAAUUAACAUUAUGUGAUUCAUUGAACAUUUUAAUUAGACUUUUCACAUUUAGAAUUAGAUGAUUCAGGAGGUUGCACAGCUACUAAUAACUCAAGAUUGGAUAUAUGUCAUAAGAAUUCGAUCCGUUAAAUUGUCAUAUAAAUUAUUCACCUUGAUUGAAACAAUAAUUGACAAUUUUCUCUCAACUCUCAUCUUAACAUGCAUAUAUAUGACUAAUUUAUAUCUUAAGAUUAUUUAAUCUUUCUCAAUUGUAUUAAAUUACUUGCUUUUUUUUUUUUUUUGCCAUCCAAGUGGUUAAAUAACCUCACAUGAAUUAUUCUAAACAAAAAAUUAUCAAAUGAAGUAAAAUUAAUCGUUUUUAGUAAAUUAUUUUGAAGUGUGACAAAAUUCAUUGGAAUUAUUUUUUUGAAAGUGUUUAUGCCAAAAUUAUAUUCAUUUGUGAACAUUUAUGUUGUUAAUACUGAAAAAUGAUAUCAUUAUAAAUUAUAUAGGUAUUACAUAGCAAGUUUAUUAUUUUUAGAAAUGAAAAUUUCUUAAGAAAACAUGACAAGUACCAAGAUUAGGAAUGUAUUUUAUUUUAGUUUUUAAAAUUAUGUAUUUUAAUAUUUUUAUAUAGUAAAAAUUUAUGUGUAAUAAAAUUUUUAGAUAAAAAAAUUAAACUUUCAGUUGAUAGAACAUAAAACUACAUUCAAUUGAUGGAAGUAUCUAUGGAAGAUUAUUGUAAGCUGAAAAAAUUAGACAAAAAAUUGAUAGGAUGUGCAUAACUUUAUUUUUUUCAUAUGACGAAAAAAGUUAAUGCUAUAUGUUGUUCCAAUAUGAAACUCUUUUAUUUGGAGAAAUAUUGUGUACUCUAUUAUUUUCUCUUUUAUAUCAGUUGACGAAUGUUCGCUGUUAUAUCAAAAUUUUUAAAGUUGCCAUAUUAGGUAAUAUUUGUUCAAAAAAAUUGAAAUUCAUCAAGUUAAUUAUCACUUUACAUUUAAAAUAAAAAAUUAUUAUAAAUUAUAAUUUAACUAAACUUAAAAGUGAUUUAAAGGCAUUUAUUAGCAAAAUUCAUUCGAUAAAUCUUUAUUUAAUUAUGCAUUUAGUAUUUCAAUUAUUUUGAAUUUUGAAUUUUUAUAAUUUUGAGUUAGAUUUUAGACUUUUGAUUAGCUCCCAAUUAGGUUGAAUCAAGUUUUAUUAUUUACUUUUAUUCAUAGUAUACUCAAUUAUUCGCUUAUAAACCUGAACAAAUUUAACUUCAUAAUUGUUAUAUACUUCUUUUUGUUUAAAAAACUAGAUUUAUAUCAUUAUAAAUUUAAAUAAAAAAAGUAUAUUCAAUUACUUAUAAUUGUAGUUUCACUUUAGAAAUAAUCUUGAAAUUAAUUAACUAAUUCAACUAUAGAGACAAUAAAAAUUAACCGUUGAAGAUGAAGGGAAAAAACCUUAAAUAAGAAACUUUUAAAUUGUUAUGGAAGAUGAAUAAUUAAUUUUGGAUUUUGAUUGGGUUACUAUUUCAAUUCAAAUUUUGUUUAUAUUCAAUCAUUUUGGGUUUUAAAAAACUACUAAGUUGUUAACUUUUUAAAAUCAAUUGAAAUCAAAUGAAGUUAGUUUAUUUUUACAAUUAUAUGUAUAUUAUUUUUAAUUAAAUUAAAAAAUUAAAAUGAGUAAAAAUUUAAUUUCUAUUCUAUUUUAAUUUUAAAUUAUUUCAAGUUUGAGUUGAUUAAUCAAUGUUAUUUUAGUUAUACUUUUAUAAUAAUGGUAAUAAAUUUCAAAAUAUAAUGAUAACAUAACACAAUAAUAAUUUAAAUGUAAAAGUGAUGGAGAUUCUAUUGAUAAUUUUAGAAAAAAAAAAAAUCUUUAUAUCCAAGUUUUACAGAGAUUAAAUUAUGUAUCUUUUUUUGAGAAAUUUUAAAUUUAUAUUACAAAAAUGUUAAUCUAGAUCAACGUGUUUAUAAUCAUUUAUUUGUUAAUCAAGUUAUUGCUAUAAGAGUUGAGGAAAAUAAUUCAAAACUUGCAAAUGAAAGAGAUCAUAUCAUAAUUCAAACUCAAGCAUGAAGACAACAUAAAAUUAAACAUUAUUUGGGUUAUUAUGUCCCCAUAUAAUAUUCUUUACUCUUUCCAAGUGAAGAAGUUAAUUGCCAUCAAAACAUCAAAAGAGUUAUUUUGAAUAAUAAUAAUAAUAAGAAUGACACAACAAUUAAAAAUAUAUAAUCUUUUGAUUUAUUAGAAGAAAUUUUUUAUGAAAAAUGUGAAAUAUUCUUUACUUUUUCCAAAUUGAGAUGUUGAUUAGCAUCAAAAUAUUAAAAAAAAAAAAGUUAUUUUGAAUGAUAGUAAUAUGAAUGAAGCAACAAUUAAAAAUAUAUCAUCUUUUUAUUUAAUAGAAGAAAUUUUUUAUAGAGAAUAUGAGAAAAUGAGAAAAUUAGCCACAAUCUCUAUAAAUUUUUUUGUAUGAUUAACUAUGGUUUAAAUAUUAUUUAAAAGAAAUAAAUUAUAUUUAAUGCAUUCUUUUAUUAAUAUUUAAAAGAAGACAACACAUUAAUUAUAUUUUUAAAAUAUAUAUUAUUUUAUUCCGUAUCAUUAAACCAAUCUUUUAAUGCAUAAAAAAAGGGACCAAUCUCUUAAAUGAAGUCGAAGAAAUUAUUGUACUUUUAUGUUAGCAAGGAGUUUCAAAGAAAGGGACUUUUUUUUUUUUUUUUUUUUUUUAAGGAAAAUGGGAUUUAGAUAUUCUAAUUAGCAUAAAUUAUGCGAUAAAAAUAUAAUAUACUAAAAAAUAAAAUUUAUGAUUAUUUUUAAAAUUUUAAAUUUGUUAAAACUUUAUUUAAUUAACGAUGAAUUUGAAAUUCUAAACAAAUAAAGAGAAACUCAAACCAAUUUUCUUUUAAUAUAUUAUCUGUAAGACAUAAGUAUAUUGAAUUUUAACUAAAUUUCACAAUUUUUAAUUUUUCAUUUUCGUAAUUUGUAAAUAUACAUAUCAAACCAUAUAUUUAAUCUGUCAAUAAACAUGGCAUAAGUGGAUUUUAUGUUAUAUUUUGACUUAGUCGUGUUGGAAACCCUUUCUUCAAAAAUAAAUAUUUGUUAAUGAAGUCUUGAUUUAAUGAUAAGAAAAAAAAAUCUUAAAAUUUGAAGUUUUAAAUUUAAGUCUUUCUAUUUUAAUUGUAUAUUAAUUUAUUAAUUAAUUGUUUAAUAAUUACAACAUAAAAAAAACUAAGAGAAUUAACACAUCAUAUCACCAAAAUAUUGAUCACCAAUUAAGGACGAGCUCCUUUUAUUUAUUGAUAUUGAUAUUAUUCCAGAUCAACAUGGUAAAUAUCUCACAUACAUAUAUGAUGAUAUAUAUGUACUAGCAGCGGAUUUUUUUUUAUUUUAAUAAUUAUAAUAAUGUGAUUGAUAAUUGCUUUUCUUUCAUAAUUAAUUAUUAAAGUGCCUAAGCAAAGGGCCUUUGAUUGUAGCAGUCGAGGUUGUUUCCGUAGCUCACUUUCAAUAUGUCACAAUAUCUCUUAUAGAAUCCGAUUCGAUCCUCAACCUGAGGGUUAGGUCCUUUGCCGCAUUCGAUGCCACCAUUGAUGAUGUUGGUAAUGACCCCAUAUCCAGGGACCCGACCGGCGGCCGUGUCUCCGGCGGAUGGCUUCCACUGACCAGUAAUGACAUCGUUGACACGAAGGUUUUGGUGACUGUGGUGUCAUCCAGAACCAAAGAGCUGUCUUGAAAGAAAUGGUCGGGUCCCUUGCCACCGCAUCGGGGUCGUUCAGCAGAUCAACGUUUAUUGCUUUUCCUGCUGGACCAUAGUUGUAGUUGCUGCCAAAGUCAAGGUCAAGGUCAAGUCAAGAUAUAGUAAGGAUUUUCAUUUUUCAACAAGCAAUUUUCCCCCCAUAUUCCCAGCUUUUUAAUCCUAUCAUAUUUUAUUAUUUUAAGGGUAAAAUAUGUUUUUAAAUUCAACGAACUUUCUAUUAAAAAGAUUAAACACACUAUGCUUAUGUUUGUGAUUAGUCAAUAGUUAUGCAUGGAAAAUGAAAACCAAAUGAGCUAUAUAUGCUUGUUGUUUAACAAAAAUGCCUUAAUAGUAAUUUUCUUGGGUCAGAACUCUGAAUCUAGUUAAUUCACUCGAAACAAGUACACUUACAAUGAGAUCUGGAUUGGACCACGGCCAAAAUAUUUUUUACCCGGUGCACAAGGCCAUUGUUGACUUGCAACACAGUAAUCUCCAGGAUUGCCCUGUUCCCGAACGAAGCAAUAUCCCCAUGCGUAUGGACCAUCCGGUGCAGUUGCCCACCCACCUAUACAAGAAUUGUGAAGUACCCCUUUAAUUAUGCCGUCCAUUAACUAUUUGCCAACUAAAUAUUAAUGUCUGCCAACCAUUAACCACGCAUGCAAGACUAAAGUUAUGGAGAUAAUAGAGACAAUCAAGAAGUUAAUUUUUUUAAUGAGAAAAAUGAACCUGUAGUUUCAUGGGAAGUUUGAGCCAAGAACGCAGCAAUUUCUCUUUUACGAGUAUCAACAUCGCCUGUGGUUCCGAAAGCGCCAAAGGAGUUGGCAGCGGCAAUGAAAGCAUCGUAUGUAUAGAAACCAUUGCCAGGGCAGUUAGCAUCGUUACGAUGCUUUAAUAUCUCAUUGAACAGGUCGCGGCUGAUAAGCGGACUGAUAUCAGCCAAGCCCCUUAAUGCAGAUGCCAAAACGAACAGAAUCAGAGCCAAGAACCUCAUUUUUUUUUUCUGCUUGGCUAGCUACUGAAGUGUUUUACGCGUGGGAUGUGGAGUCCCAUGUGAAGGAUCAGGCUGGUAUUUAUAGAGUGGGUCAGGAGAGAGAGAGAUCCUAACAAAACCUUAUUCUUCUUAAUAUUCUAGAGACGAAGGCGGCCUUUAUCUGUUAGGCUAAAAACCUCCAAUCCAAUCACACCAGCGGAAACGAAAUCAAACAAUAAAAUCAAACAGACAAGAGACAACAAUUUAACGUGGUUCGGUCCAACUGACCUAUAUUACGGAUGAGAAACAAGAUUCACUAGUUGUAGAGAAUUACAAACUGACAUCAAAUCAUCAACCUCACUCAACAAUCAAUACUCAUAAGAUACUUUCAGUCUCCUCUAGUCCUAUUAAGUAUUCUCAAUCCAAACAAACCCAAACCCAAACCCAAACCCUUGUGCACCCUUUCAACAUAACCAAACACAUAACCAUAUGCUCCCAUACAUCAUACCUAUGUGGACCCUCUCAGUCUCCUUUAGUCCACUCAUAAAUAAACAUACACACCCAUAAGACGUAGAGCCCCAAUAUUUCUAUGGGGUGUCUAUCCCACAAAAUCCUAUAGCUCUCUUACAUCUUUUUCUCAUACCUAACCCUGUAGAGACUUCACGUAUUUAUAACCAUGCAAACUUGCCCAUUAAGAAUCACUCUCCUCUUAGAAUUCUUCUCCUGUAAGUCAAACUUGCCUAUUAAGAAUCCAUUCCUUUUAGAAUUUUCUCUUCUCUUGCAAGUCAAACUUACCUAUUAAGAAUCUUUUUCUCUUAUAAUUAUUCUUUUGCAAGUCUUCUUGUCCAUCAAGCAAUAUCUGAAAAAUCUCAAACAAAUCGCAAACAAAUCUCUUACGAGAUUUGAGUCAUUAUUCCCAACAUUAUCAUCACAAAGUAGAAGUAUGAUGAUUGCUUGAAAGCUUGUAUACCUGACAAAUAUGAGAAAGGGCGAACAGGUAUCGUUCUUGGACCGUUUUCUUAGUCCAAGCUUAUCUUGACAUGACUUAACCAAGUUGGAAUAAGUUGAAAUUCCAUUUUGUUAGAAUUCAUAUGUUUUUGUCUCUGCAAGUGGCGUUGAUUGCAGAGAAAAUAUUCAAGCUGAGCAGCCCGAAAAAAGAAAACAAAUCUUAUCCUUGUCAGAUUACAAAAUUAAGAAAUAACAUGCAAAAACCUAGAUAGCUACGGAAGUACUUGAAGAAAUGAGGCCAGAGCAUCCAUUUUGGAUAUACUUGAAGCAUGGCCAGAUGAGUUUAACCCUGUUCGACCGAUUUUUUUUCUUACCCUUUUACGAUAAUCUCCAAAUCCUGUUUUUAGAAUUAUUAAGCAAUUUUUUUUCAUAUUACUGUUUAGAGUAAACAAAUUAAACUAUAAAAAGGUCCAAAGUUUUUCCCAUUGUACUUAUUAUCUUCAACCAUCCGAUUCUUUUAGUAAGUGCUUCAUAAGAUAAUGGACAAGUUAGAAGAAAUAACUACAUAUACAGAGAAUAAGAUUUCUUCAAUGAGAGUUGAAACAGAGAAUAUCAAAAUAGUGGGUUAAUGUGGAUUUGAGCCCUUUGAACUAUAUUUAUCUUUUGAUAUUUAUACAUAAAUCGUAUAUAUAAAAAUUCGACCUCCAAAAGUAUUAAUAGCGAUAAACUUAAAUACCCUAUAAAUUUUUAAAUUAACAAAUUCAUCCUAAAUAUAUAGCUUUUAUUAAUUUAUUUAAAUUUAAUUUAAAUCAACUAAAUUUUCAAAUAGAGUUUAUAUAAAAUUAAACUACUUAGAAUAUUUAAAUUUUAAUUUCAAAAGUGUUACAAGUUAUUGUCUAAAUAUUUUUUAGUAAAUAUUUUUAUAAAGUCUAAUAUAAAUAAAUUUUUUAUUACUAGACUUCUUUUAUAAUUAGACUUAAAAAGUGUUAAAAAUAAUUGAUUAAAAAUACCAUGGGUAAUUUUUUUUAUAAAUUUUAAUUUAAAUGACUUUUUUAUUAAUUGACUUUUUUUUUUAUAAGUACAACGAUUUAUCACAUUAAAUGAAAAUAUAAAUAAAAUGAGAUUAAAACUUACUGUGAAUAAGAAUAAACAAUUAUAUAGAUUUUAUUUAUUUAAUUGUUGUACAAACAAUUUUAUAUAUAUAUAUAUAUAUAGUUUAUAUUGAUAACUAAAUUAAUUAAAAAUACUCAUAUUAAGUAGUUGAAGUGUAUUUGUUUUCUUCUUUUUUAUUUUUACCUUUCAAUUUUUUGUUCCAAUAUGUUAACUAUAUAUGUAUAUUAGUGAUUUUAUUAUUUAUAUGUUUUAUGAGUUGAUCAUUUAAUGAUUGAUAAUAUAAUUAAAUCUUUUUAGUCCCAUGAAAUAAUUCUUUAAUAUAUCAUUUUUACAAUUUAGUUUGACAUCUAUAAUUAAUGUCUCUUUUGUAUUUUUAUCUCUAGAAUUUUAUAAUUAUUAUUCUUAUGAAUCAAAAUUAAUAUCAAAUCAAAUGCAAAUCAAUUGCAUCAUCUCUACCAACAAUUAACAUUAUGUGAUUCAUUGAACAUUUUAAUUAGACUUUUCACAUUUAGAAUUAGAUGAUUCAGGAGGUUGCACAGCUACUAAUAACUCAAGAUUGGAUAUAUGUCAUAAGAAUUCGAUCCGUUAAAUUGUCAUAUAAAUUAUUCACCUUGAUUGAAACAAUAAUUGACAAUUUUCUCUCAACUCUCAUCUUAACAUGCAUAUAUAUGACUAAUUUAUAUCUUAAGAUUAUUUAAUCUUUCUCAAUUGUAUUAAAUUACUUGCUUUUUUUUUUUUUUUUUGCCAUCCAAGUGGUUAAAUAACCUCACAUGAAUUAUUCUAAACAAAAAAUUAUCAAAUGAAGUAAAAUUAAUCGUUUUUAGUAAAUUAUUUUGAAGUGUGACAAAAUUCAUUGGAAUUAUUUUUUUGAAAGUGUUUAUGCCAAAAUUAUAUUCAUUUGUGAACAUUUAUGUUGUUAAUACUGAAAAAUGAUAUCAUUAUAAAUUAUAUAGGUAUUACAUAGCAAGUUUAUUAUUUUUAGAAAUGAAAAUUUCUUAAGAAAACAUGACAAGUACCAAGAUUAGGAAUGUAUUUUAUUUUAGUUUUUAAAAUUAUGUAUUUUAAUAUUUUAUAUAGUAAAAAUUAUGUGUAAUAAAAUUUUUAGAUAAAAAAAUUAAACUUUCAGUUGAUAGAACAUAAAACUACAUUCAAUUGAUGGAAGUAUCUAUGGGAAGAUUAUUGUAAGCUGAAAAAUUAGACAAAAAAUUGAUAGGAUGUGCAUAACUUUAUUUUUUCAUAUGACGAAAAAAGUUAAUGCUAUAUGUUGUUCCAAUAUGAAACUCUUUUAUUUGGAGAAAUAUUGUGUACUCUAUUAUUUUCUCUUUUAUAUCAGUUGACGAAUGUUCGCUGUUAUAUCAAAAUUUUUUAAAGUUGCCAUAUUAGGUAAUAUUUGUUCAAAAAAAUUGAAAUUCAUCAAGUUAAUUAUCACUUUACAUUUAAAAUAAAAAAUUAUUAUAAAUUAUAAUUUAACUAAACUUAAAAGUGAUUUAAAGGCAUUUAUUAGCAAAAUUCAUUCGAUAAAUCUUUAUUUAAUUAUGCAUUUAGUAUUUCAAUUAUUUUGAAUUUUGAAUUUUUAUAAUUUUGAGUUAGAUUUUAGACUUUUGAUUAGCUCCCAAUUAGGUUGAAUCAAGUUUUAUUAUUUACUUUUAUUCAUAGUAUACUCAAUUAUUCGCUUAUAAACCUGAACAAAUUUAACUUCAUAAUUGUUAUAUACUUCUUUUUGUUUAAAAAACUAGAUUUAUAUCAUUAUAAUUUAAAUAAAAAAGUAUAUUCAAUUACUUAUAAUUGUAGUUUCACUUUAGAAAUAAUCUUGAAAUUAAUUAACUAAUUCAACUAUAGAGACAAUAAAAAUUAACCGUUGAAGAUGAAGGGAAAAAACCUUAAAUAAGAAACUUUUAAAUUGUUUAUGGAAGAUGAAUAAUUAAUUUUGGAUUUUGAUUGGGUUACUAUUUCAAUUCAAAUUUUGUUUAUAUUCAAUCAUUUUGGGUUUUAAAAAACUACUAAGUUGUUAACUUUUUAAAAUCAAUUGAAAUCAAAUGAAGUUAGUUUAUUUUUACAAUUAUAUGUAUAUUAUUUUAAUUAAAUUAAAAAAUUAAAAUGAGUAAAAUUUAAUUUCUAUUCUAUUUUAAUUUUAAAUUAUUUCAAGUUUGAGUUGAUUAAUCAAUGUUAUUUUAGUUAUACUUUUAUAAUAAUGGUAAUAAAUUUCAAAAUAUAAUGAUAACAUAACACAAUAAUAAUUUAAAUGUAAAAGUGAUGGAGAUUCUAUUGAUAAUUUUAGAAAAAAAAAAAAUCUUUAUAUCCAAGUUUUACAGAGAUUAAAUUAUGUAUCUUUUUUGAGAAUUUUAAAUUUAUAUUACAAAAAUGUUAAUCUAGAUCAACGUGUUUAUAAUCAUUUAUUUGUUAAUCAAGUUAUUGCUAUAAGAGUUGAGGAAAAUAAUUCAAAACUUGCAAAUGAAAGAGAUCAUAUCAUAAUUCAACUCAAGCAUGAAGACAACAUAAAAUUAAACAUUAUUUGGGUUAUUAUGUCCCCAUAUAAUAUUCUUUACUCUUUCCAAGUGAAGAAGUUAAUUGCCAUCAAAACAUCAAAGAGUUAUUUUGAAUAAUAAUAAUAAGAAUGACACAACAAUUAAAAAUAUAUAAUCUUUUGAUUUAUUAGAAGAAAUUUUUUAUGAAAAAUGUGAAAUAUUCUUUACUUUUUCCAAAUUGAGAUGUUGAUUAGCAUCAAAAUAUUAAAAAAAAAAAGUUAUUUUGAAUGAUAGUAAUAUGAAUGAAGCAACAAUUAAAAAUAUAUCAUCUUUUUAUUUAAUAGAAGAAAUUUUUUAUAGAGAAUAUGAGAAAAUGAGAAAAUUAGCCACAAUCUCUAUAAAUUUUUUUGUAUGAUUAACUAUGGUUUAAAUAUUAUUUAAAAGAAAUAAAUUAUAUUUAAUGCAUUCUUUUAUUAAUAUUUAAAAGAAGACAACACAUUAAUUAUAUUUUUAAAAUAUAUAUUAUUUUAUUCCGUAUCAUUAAACCAAUCUUUUAAUGCAUAAAAAAAGGGACCAAUCUCUUAAUGAAGUCGAAGAAAUUAUUGUACUUUUAUGUUAGCAAGGAAGUUUCAAAGAAAGGGACUUUUUUUUUUUUUUUUUUUUUAAGGAAAAUGGGAUUUAGAUAUUCUAAAUUAGCAUAAAUUAUGCGAUAAAAAUAUAAUAUACUAAAAAAUAAAAUUUAUGAUUAUUUUUAAAAUUUUAAAAUUUGUUAAAACUUUAUUUAAUUAACGAUGAAUUUGAAAUUUCUAAACAAAAUAAAGAGAAACUCAAACCAAUUUUCUUUUAAUAUAUUAUCUGUAAGACAUAAGUAUAUUGAAUUUUAACUAAAUUUCACAAUUUUUAAUUUUUCAUUUUCGUAAUUUGUAAAUAUACAUAUCAAACCAUAUAUUUAAUCUGUCAAUAAACAUGGCAUAAGUGGAUUUUAUGUUAUAUUUUGACUUAGUCGUGUUGGAAACCCUUUCUUCAAAAAUAAAUAUUUGUUAAUGAAGUCUUGAUUUAAUGAUAAGAAAAAAAAAUCUUAAAAUUUGAAGUUUUAAAUUUAAGUCUUUCUAUUUUAAUUGUAUAUUAAUUUAUUAAUUAAUUGUUUAAUAAUUACAACAUAAAAAAAAACUAAGAGAAUUAACACAUCAUAUCACCAAAAUAUUGAUCACCAAAUUAAGGACGAGCUCCUUUUAUUUAUUGAUAUUGAUAUUAUUCCAGAUCAACAUGGUAAAUAUCUCACAUACAUAUAUGAUGAUAUAUAUGUACUAGCAGCGGAUUUUUUUUUUAUUUUAAUAAUUAUAAUAAUGUGAUUGAUAAUUGCUUUUCUUUCAUAAUUAAUUAUUAAAGUGCCUAAGCAAAGGGCCUUUGAUUGUAGCAGUCGAGGUUGUUUCCGUAGCUCACUUUCAAUAUGUCACAAUAUCUCUUAUAGAAUCCGAUUCGAUCCUCAACCUGAGGGUUAGGUCCUUUGCCGCAUUCGAUGCCACCAUUGAUGAUGUUGGUAAUGACCCCAUAUCCAGGGACCCGACCGGCGGCCGUGUCUCCGGCGGAUGGCUUCCACUGACCAGUAAUGACAUCGUGACACGAAGGUUUUGGUGACUGUGGUGUCAUCCAGAACCAAAGAGCUGUCUUGAAAGAAAUGGUCGGGUCCCUUGCCACCGCAUCGGGGUCGUUCAGCAGAUCAACGUUUAUUGCUUUUCCUGCUGGACCAUAGUUGUAGUUGCUGCCAAAGUCAAGGUCAAGGUCAAGUCAAGAUAUAGUAAGGAUUUUCAUUUUUCAACAAGCAAUUUUCCCCCCAUAUUCCCAGCUUUUUAAUCCUAUCAUAUUUUAUUAUUUUAAGGGUAAAAUAUGUUUUUAAAUUCAACGAACUUUCUAUUAAAAAGAUUAAACACACUAUGCUUAUGUUUGUGAUUAGUCAAUAGUUAUGCAUGGAAAAUGAAAACCAAAUGAGCUAUAUAUGCUUGUUGUUUAACAAAAAUGCCUUAAUAGUAAUUUU